GGCCUUAGGGUCGUAAAGCUCUUUCGCCAGGGAUGAUAAUGACAGUACCUGGUAAAGAAACCCCGGCUAACUCCGUGCCAGCAGCCGCGGUAAUACGGAGGGGGUUAGCGUUGUUCGGAAUUACUGGGCGUAAAGCGUACGUAGGCGGAUCAGAAAGUUAGGGGUGAAAUCCCAGGGCUCAACCCUGGAACUGCCUUUAAAACUCCUGGUCUUGAGUUCGAGAGAGGUGAGUGGAAUUCCAAGUGUAGAGGUGAAAUUCGUAGAUAUUUGGAGGAACACCAGUGGCGAAGGCGGCUCACUGGCUCGAUACUGACGCUGAGGUGCGAAAGUGUGGGGAGCAAACAGGAUUAGAUACCCUGGUAGUCCACACCGUAAACGAUGAAUGCCAGUCGUCGGGCAGUAUACUGUUCGGUGACACACCU
rnacentral:rRNA from 1 species